rnacentral:rRNA from 1 species
GCCUAAUACAUGCAAGUCGCACGGGAUAGUAGGGGGCAACUCCUGCGUGUACCGUGGCGUAAGGGCGAGCAAUACGUGGCUAACCUACCCCCGAGAGAGGAAUAACCCGCCGAAAGGCGGGCUAAUUCCUCGUAACGUCGGAUGUCGCAGGACGUCCGACCAAAGAUGGCCUCUACAGCGUUAAGCUGUCGCUCGGGGAGGGGGCCACGUCCUAUCAGCUAGUUGGUGAGGUAACGGCUCACCAAGGCUACGACGGGUACCCGGCCUGAGAGGGUGGUCGGGCGCAUCGGGACUGAAAUACUGCCCGGACUCCUACGGGAGGCUGCAGUCGAGAAUCUUCGGCAAUGGGCGAAAGCCUGACCGAGCGACGCCGCGUGUGGGAUGAAGGCCUUCGGGUUGUAAACCACUGUCACCUGUUAAGAAGGAAACCCGGUAAACAGCCGGGGGACUUGACGUUAGCAGGAGAGGAAGGGACCGCUAACUCUGUGCCAGCAGCGGCGGUAAUACAGAGGUCCCAAGCAUUGUUCGGAUUCACUGGGCUUAAAGGGCUCGUAGGCGGCUGCGUAUGUCCAUAGUGAAAGCCCCCGGCUUAACCGGGGAACGGCUGUGGAAACUGCGCGGCUUGAGGAUGAAGAGGCGGGUGGAAUUCCCCGGUGGAGCGGUGGAAUGCGUAGAUAUCGGGAGGAACGCCAGAGGCGAAAGCGGCCCGCUGGUCAGUCCUGACGCUGAGGAGCGAAAGCCAGGGGAGCAAACGGGAUUAGAUACCCCGGUAGUCCUGGCCGUAAACUGUGGGCACUUGGUAUCGGGCGGCCCGAGCCGUUCGGUAUCGAAGGGAAACCGUUAAGUGCCCCGCCUGGGGAGUAUAGUCGCAAGUCUGAAACUCAAAGAAAUUGACGGGGGCUCGCACAAGCGGUGGAGGAUGUUGUUCAAUUCGAUGCAACGCGCAGAACCUCACCUGGGCUUGACAUGCUGGAAUGAGCCCUUCCGAAAGGUUGGGUGCGCCCGCAAGGGUGGAGCCAGCACAGGUGUUGCACGGCUGUCGUCAGCUCGUGUCGUGAGAUGUCGGGUUAAGUCCCUUAACGAGCGAAACCCCUGUCCCUAGUUGCCACCGGGAAACCGGGCACUUUAGGGAGACUGCCGUUGUAAAACGGAGGAAGGUGGGGAUGACGUCAAGUCAUCGUGGCCUUUAUGCCCAGGGCUACAAACGUCCUACAAUGGCCGGUACAAAGGGAAGCGAAACCGCGAGGCGGAGCAAAUCCCAAAAAACCGGUCCCAGUUCGGAUCGCAGGCUGCAACUCGCCUGCGUGAAGCUGGAAUCGCUAGUAAUCGCAGAUCAGAACGCUGCGGUGAAUAUGUUCCCGAGCCUUGCACACACCGCCCGUCAC